UCGCUGCCCGGAACUGAGCCGUUUCGAGAAGAACAGGGACUGCUGAUUGUUGGCCUUCGGGUUGCCUCUUGGCGGAAACUGUUUUAAUCGGUAUGGCUUGAACCGGGCAA
rnacentral:rRNA from 1 species